rnacentral:rRNA from 1 species
GGUUAGACAGGGGUGUGUUGGUGUGGUAAGAUAGAGAGGGGAAGGGGUGUUCGGAAUUGCUGGGCGGAAAGGGAGGGUAGGCGGGUCGGUAAGAACUGUGUGAAAUCGCACGGGUUAACUGGGGAUGUGCACAUGGGACUGGCGGGCUUGAGGUCGGGAGAGGGAAGCGGAAUUCCGGGUGGAGCGGUGAAAGGCGUAGAGAUCCGGAGGAACACCGGUGGCGAAGGCGGCUUCCUGGACCGACACUGACGCUGGGGCGCGAAAGCUAGGGGAGCAAACGGGAUUAGAUACCCGAUAGUC